rnacentral:lncRNA from 1 species
AUGCCCUUUCUCUCUGGGGCUGAGGGAGGAAAUACUCCCACCCCCUGCUGGCUCCAGUCUGGGUGGGGUGUCCCUGGGGGACAAUGGGAGGAAGUCUUGUUUCAUGUCCUCCCGCCAGCCUGGCCCCCUUAUAAUCUGGCAUCCUUCCCCUGGUGGGCCCAGCAAGAUGGAUCUACGGUGGAUCCUGCCCUCCCUGUGGCUUCUCCUGCUUGGGGGGCCUGCCUGCCUGAAGACCCAGGAACACCCCAGCUGCCCGGGUGGGCACCUAGGGUGCCCUCCUCACCAACCCACUCCUCAUUCCCUCGCUGGGUGUCCCCCCACCAAGGCUCAUCAACCUCAAGGACCAGGGACCCAGGGAACUGGAAGCCAGCAAAGUUGUCCUCCUGCCCAGUUGUCCCGGAGCUCCAGGAAGUCCUGGGGAGAAGGGAGCCCCAGGUCCUCAAGGGCCACCUGGACCACCAGGCAAGAUGGGCCCCAAGGGUGAGCCAGGUGAGUAAGUGGGGCUGGAGGCCUCCCCGCUUUCUUUGCCUCUGUCCCUGGACUCUAGGGUGGGAUCUCUGCUUGGCUGCUGCGCCUAUGAUGGCUCUCUCACAGGGGAAUGGAUGGCUGGGAGGAGUGGGAAGGAUUAGGAGAAGGGCCUGGCUACCCUAUGAUGGCUCUCUCACAGGGGAAUGGAUGGCUGGGAGGAGUGGGAAGGAUUAGGAGAAGGGCCUGGCUACCCUAUGAUGGCUCUCUCACAGGGGAAUGGAUGGCUGGGAGGAGUGGGAAGGAUUAGGAGAAGGGCCUGGCUACCCUAUGAUGGCNNNNNNNNNNNNNNNNNNNNNNNNNCCUCCUACUGGGGGAC